UUCAUAGUUAUUUAAGGCUAAUAUUUAUGCAUGACCACACAUUGUGAGCACAGCCCAAUCUCCAUCCUCACCCAGCCUAGAUCUGGGAAGGUCUUUAGCAGCAACGUUCCAUAUUUUAAGCCCCUUACAGAAGUCUCGCCCAGUAGUCUGCACCGGCUCUGUUAUUAACUGCAUCCGUAGACCAGAUAUAUUCAUGCACGCUGCUAAUUGAAAGAGCAGAUCGUCCCGAGCUGGCAUUAUCCUCAAAGACCUCUUCUCCAACGAGGAAGAGAAUGAGGCAGCCAAGAAGAGGGGAGCCUGAGUCGUGACUAAACAAAGAGGGUUAGAAACAAACAAAAACCCCAGAGAACUAUGACCUGCCACUUCUACCCAAGACCAGGAGUUUUGAAGCACGGGAAGAGGUGGAGAGUGCGCUGCACUGUUGCCGUGGGAGACAGUGACUUGUUUAUGUCUCAGGAUGUUAGGACAAGGACAGGCCAACCUGGCUGCCCUGCCACCACGGCUACUCGUUAAGAUAAUUGCAUCUGCUUGGCUGCUGAAUCACUCCCCAAAAUGUACUUAGAAAGAAGGAAAGAACAUCACUAUUGAGUUGUAACACCAGCUUCCCUGGAGAAGACCCCAGAAAAUGCAUGAAUUUUCAGCCUUUAGGUAAAAGCCCAGGAUUUCCCAAUCUUCAGUAUGUGAAACAUCUCAAACAAUUAGUUACGUGUAAAUGAACAAAAGCCCUAGAAACAAGCAUGUGCUCAUCCUUCUUUCACCCCUGGAACCUUUAUUGAGCACUUAUUAUGCACAGAACCUACUUCGGGGACUGUGGGAAAACAGGAGUGAUACGGCCCUUUGAUCCAGCAGGAGAAGUGGGGGUUGUCGAGUCACAAUCCUGAAUUGGACUCCCUGCCGGGACUCUCUGAAUGACACCUAAGGUGGGUGGAUCACGAGGCCAGGAGUUCAAGAUCAGCCUGGCUAAGAUGAUGAAAUGCCAUCUCUAUUAAAAACACAAAAUUUAGCCUGGCGCAGUGGCAGGCACUUGUAAUCUCAGCUACUCGGGAAGCUGAGGCAGAAGAAUUGUUUGAACCAGGUUGGGUAGAGGUUGCAGUGAGUUGAGAUGAUGCCACUGCACUCCAGGCUGGGUGACAAAGGAAGACUGUCUCAAAAUAAUAAUAAUAAUAAAUAAAUAAAUGAAUGGCA
rnacentral:lncRNA from 13 species